rnacentral:rRNA from 1 species
AACGCGAAGAACCUUACCAGCUUUUGACAUGCCCUGGACGGGCGCCGGAGACGGCGUCCUCUCUUCGGAGCCGGGGACACAGGUGCUGCAUGGCUGUCGUCAGCUCGUGUCGUGAGAUGUUGGGUUAAGUCCCGCAACGAGCGCAACCCUCGCCCUUAGUUGCCAUCAUUCAGUUGGGCACUCUAGGGGGACUGCCGGUGAUAAGCCGCGAGGAAGGUGGGGAUGACGUCAAGUCCUCAUGGCCCUUACAGGCUGGGCUACACACGUGCUACAAUGGCGGUGACAGAGGGAUGCGAAGGGGCGACCCGGAGCAAAUCUCGAAAAGCCGUCUCAGUUCGGAUUGCGCUCUGCAACUCGGGCGCAUGAAGGUGGAAUCGCUAGUAAUCGCAGAUCAGCACGCUGCGGUGAAUACGUUCCCGGGCCUUGUACACACCGCAUAC